rnacentral:rRNA from 1 species
GACGAACGCUGGCGGCGCGCCUAACACAUGCAAGUCGAACGAGAGAUGAGGAGCUUGCUCUUCAAAUCGAGUGGCGAACGGGUGAGUAACGCGUGAGGAACCUGCCUCAAAGAGGGGGACAACAGUUGGAAAUGACUGCUAAUACCGCAUAAGCCCACGGCUCGGCAUCGAGCAGAGGGAAAAGGAGCGAUCCGCUUUGAGAUGGCCUCGCGUCCGAUUAGCUAGUUGGUGAGGUAACGGCCCACCAAGGCGACGAUCGGUAGCCGGACUGAGAGGUUGAACGGCCACAUUGGGACUGAGACACGGCCCAGACUCCUACGGGAGGCAGCAGUGGGGAAUAUUGCACAAUGGGGGAAACCCUGAUGCAGCGACGCCGCGUGGAGGAAGAAGGUCUUCGGAUUGUAAACUCCUGUUGUUCGAGGAAAGGUAUAAAUUGACGGGUAACUCAAACAAGGAAGUGACGGCUAAACUACGUG